rnacentral:rRNA from 1 species
UACGAAGGGGGCUAGCGUUGCUCGGAAUCACUGGGCGUAAAGGGUGCGUAGGCGGGUCUUUAAGUCAGGGGUGAAAUCCUGGAGCUCAACUCCAGAACUGCCUUUGAUACUGAAGAUCUUGAGUUCGGGAGAGGUGAGUGGAACUGCGAGUGUAGAGGUGAAAAUUCGUAGAUAUUCGCAAGAACACCAGUGGCGAAGGCGGCUCACUGGCCCGAUACUGACGCUGAGGCACGAAAGCGUGGGAGCAACAGG